rnacentral:rRNA from 1 species
GAUGAACGCUGGCGGCGUGCCUAAUACAUGCAAGUCGAGCGAACGGACGAGAAGCUUGCUUCUCUGAUGUUAGCGGCGGACGGGUGAGUAACACGUGGAUAACCUACCUAUAAGACUGGGAUAACUUCGGGAAACCGGAGCUAAUACCGGAUAAUAUUUUGAACCGCAUGGUUCAAUAGUGAAAGACGGUCUUGCUGUCACUUAUAGAUGGAUCCGCGCUGCAUUAGCUAGUUGGUAAGGUAACGGCUUACCAAGGCAACGAUGCGUAGCCGACCUGAGAGGGUGAUCGGCCACACUGGAACUGAGACACGGUCCAGACUCCUACGGGAGGCAGCAGUAGGGAAUCUUCCGCAAUGGGCGAAAGCCUGACGGAGCAACGCCGCGUGAGUGAUGAAGGUCUUCGGAUCGUAAAACUCUGUUAUUAGGGAAGAACAUAUGUGUAAGUAACUAUGCACAUCUUGACGGUACCUAAUCAGAAAGCCACGGCUAACUACGUG